CUCAGUUCAGUCCGUCUGAGCUGAAACUGAAAAACUUUCUGAUGCUUUUCCACUCUGGAGCUUCUUCUUCUUCUUCGUCUUCUUCUUCAUGCACCUCUGAGAAGCGAGUUUGGCCUGAUCCUGCCCCCACUGAUUACAAGACGUGUUUACUGCGCAUGAGGAGGAGCCGUAUGGCGCAGAGGGAUGCAGGAAUCCAGAUGGUGAUGGUUAAACAGAGUUUCAGCACAAACAUCGGCUCAUCACCUCAAAUGAACGGAGCAGAAAACUGAUCGGCCCCGUCAGGCUGAUCUGUCAGGACAUCUGAUCAGUCAGACGUCCUGCAGCGGAGACUCUUCUGUCCCAGUGAUGCUCUCACUGUCUGAAGGCUUUGCCUGCACAUGCUCACAUGGAAAAGACCAAGUUGAAACCUGUUUAAAUGCAAACACGGCAGAGAAACUGUGUUUAACCAGCAGACACUGAGUCAGGAAACCCGAUUUGAUUACUGCAGGAAGACGACUGCAGCCCGGCUCUUUAAGUUCAUGAGAAGCCAUUUGUCUGUCUCUGAAGUCUGAAUGUUUGGAACGAAC